UGGCAAUGAUGGAGCUUCAAAUGGUGUAUUGAUAGAGAACCGUGGUGAAGGGUGCACAGAAAAUGAAUGGAGAUGGAAUGAUGGCUUCUUUUGGGCGAAUGGAUGGCACAAUAGUGAGAGAGUGUGACAUCCUAAUUUUCAUGUCAUAAUCCAGAAAUUUCAAUCAAAUAAAAUUUAUGCUUAGCUAAUUUGAUUGUAUUUUAUUAUUCUUGGAACAAAUAUAUCAACAGAGAGUGUUGGUCUAGUGGGAGAUAUAUUGAGAUCCCUUAUAUCAGGUCACAGGUCCUUUGCUGUUCUUCUCACUUUCGUCUGUCUUCGACACUCGCCGUUCGUGUUCAUGCCGUGGGUGGGUGUGAAAGCUGAAUCCUAGCAUUGGGGUGCUACUCGUCUUGGAUCUCUUUCCCUGUUUCUGUGAAUAUUGAGGAUUAAGGAAUUUAAAGGCCAAAUAUCAUCAUUAGAAGACUAGUUAAAAGUAAGUUAUACAUUUGGAGACUCUACAGACUCACUAGCUGAUGCUGGACCUCCUGCCGAUCGUUAAGGGUCUUACAACUAUACUUGGUUGAUCGUGGAGAGCCAGAAGAUGAAGAAGGCGAGGGUCAACCGAGUAAAAACGAAGCACAUAACCAUUAGGAGCAACGUGAUUCCCAUGGUGGUGUCGCAGGACAUCCUUGGAGGGGAAGAAACUGACGAAGAUGAUUGGGAAUGAAGAAGGAAUGCUGAUCGAUGGAGGCUAUCGAGGCUAUAAAUCAGGAAGAGUAUGAAAAAGAGAUGAUGAAAAAUGAUUAAAAUAAUUUAAAUAAGAGAAAUAUAGAUGUCAAGUAAAUGUCAACACCGGGUAAAAUGUUUUGAGAUGUCAUGCUCUGGUGGAGCAAUGCACAAGACGAGAUGCCGCUAUGUGUCUAAGAAUUUAUACCAAGUUUGCGAUUUUAUUUCCCCAAUUGGAGUUCAAA